rnacentral:lncRNA from 1 species
UGGAACAAUCAUAGAAAAGGUGGUUCACAUGGACCUCGGGAGGCCCUGCAUUUAUCAAGUAUUCUUAAGUAAUUCCUGAGAGACACUUGAAUAAUCCUGUUCUAAAAACCAGAAUGUUUUUAAAACAGAGUUUGUAGAGGUCCCACCCAAUCCAUUCAACCUUUUCAUUAGAAAGGUUCCCUCUCUCCCAUAAAAUAUCUACCUUACCUAUUUCCUGGUGCUAAAGCUUGAUUCCAUCACUGUGAACAAGUAAGUUAGACUACUGCUUUCCUCCUGCUGCCCCUUGUAAAGCUAACCAGAUAUUUUUUUGUCUUCUCUGGAUAGCUCAGUGCUGCACAGAAUUAGGAGUCCCAUACAUAAAUUUCCCCAUUUCUGUAGGAAGCUGUAGCAGCUUUACUGAAUCAGAUUAUAUAGUGAUGAGGAUUUUGUGUCUCACCUCUUCUAUUUGUGCACAAAACAGUCUCAUUUGUGUUGUAAAUCUUAUUCUUUCACUUUUUGGCUAGAAUUCCAUCCCAUUCCUAAAGAAAAAGAUAACUUCAAGUUUGGAGAUACUCAUUUGGUAAGUCCAUUCCAUGGUUUUCAAAGCAGAGAGAAUGAAGGCAGGCAUGACUUUUGCCCUGGUUUCCUGAGGGGUGUGAAAAUGUCAAAAUCAGUUUGAAAUUCAACUGAUCCAUGGAUAAUAUAAGAGUUUCACAAAACUAUAAGAUGCCAAAGGAAUAAAUGCUGACCAGGAGAGAGAAGACA